AAAAGUCGUAACAAGGUUUCCGUAGGUGAACCUGCGGAAGGAUCAUUCAUAAUAAGUGUUUUAUGGCACUUUUUAAAUCCAUAUCCACCUUGUGUGCAAUGUCAGUCGAUCUUCUUCAUGGAGAUCGACCAAACAUCAACCUUUAUUUUUUAACUCUUUGUCUGAAAAAUAUUAUGAAUAAACAAUUCAAAAUACAACUUUCAACAACGGAUCUCUUGGCUCUCGCAUCGAUGAAGAACGCAGCGAAAUGCGAUACGUAAUGUGAAUUGCAGAAUUCAGUGAAUCAUCGAAUCUUUGAACGCAUAUUGCGCUCUUUGGUAUUCCGAAGAGCAUGCUUGUUUGAGUAUCAGUAAACACCUCAAAGCUUUUGGAUUUUUUAAUCGAAAAGCUUUGGACUUGAGCAAUCCCAACACCAAUCUUUUUGAGAUCGGUGGCGGGUUGCUUGAAAUGCAGGUGCAGCUGGACAUUCUCCUGAGCUAAAAGCAUAUUCAUUUAGUCCCGUCAAACGGAUUAUUACUUUUGCUGCAGCUAACAUAAAGGGAGUUUGACCGUAUUGGCUGACUGAUGCAGGAUUUCACAAGGGUCGGCAACGAUUCUUGUUAAACUCGAUCUCAAAUCAAGUAAGACUACCCGCUGAACUUAAGC
rnacentral:rRNA from 2 species